GGGGGCACUCCCCGGUGGGAGGGCGAGCUUGACACGUUUCGCUAGAUGGGUUCGACUCCCGUUGCCUCCA
rnacentral:tRNA from 1 species